UCCAAAUGUAGACAAGAAUAAAGACCAUGUCACCAAAGGCCCAAGCAAUACAAAGAACUCCAAAGUUAGCCACGUAUAUCACCUCCAACAUCUAAAUCAUUGCGUCCUCUCUUCAAAUUCCACCAACAGCUCAUCAUAAUCUUUUGCAAAAAACUUUGUUGGUCUCUUUGUUACAGCCUCAACUUCGUUAGUCAUAUUUGGC
rnacentral:lncRNA from 1 species